rnacentral:rRNA from 1 species
AUUGAACGCUGGCGGCAUGCCUUACACAUGCCAGUCGAACGGUAACGGGCCUUCGGGUGCCGACGAGUGGCGAACGGGUGAGUAAUACAUCGGAACGUGCCCGAUCGUGGGGGAUAACGAGGCGAAAGCUUUGCUAAUACCGCAUACGAUCUACGGAUGAAAGCAGGGGACCGCAAGGCCUUGCGCGGACGGGGCGGCCGAUGGCAGAUUAGGUAGUUGGUGGGAUAAAAGCUUACCAAGCCGACGAUCUGUAGCUGGUCUGAGAGGAUGAUCAGCCACACUGGGACUGAGACACGGCCCAGACUCCUACGGGAGGCAGCAGUGGGGAAUUUUGGACAAUGGGCGCAAGCCUGAUCCAGCCAUGCCGCGUGCAGGAUGAAGGCCUUCGGGUUGUAAACUGCUUUUGUACGGAACGAAAAGCCUUCUUUUAAUACAGGAGGGUCAUGACGGUACCGUAAGAAUAAGCACCGGCUAACUACGUG